rnacentral:misc_RNA from 1 species
CAGAGAACAUGCCCCCAGGGGUAUAUCUCCCACCCUUUGUCUACAAUACCUUUGUUGCUUUGGCAAGCCUGUCUCACGACUGCCAGCUCUUAGCUGGUCUGUGCUUGCCAGAGGACCCCAAAAUUCUCCAUUCUUGUUGUCUGAGUACUAUACAAUAAUUA